rnacentral:lncRNA from 1 species
CUAAAAGCCAGUUGGGUUCUGUCUCUUGGAUGUGCCCUUCAUUGUGAGAUGUCUUGCACCACCUCAGGACCUGCAGAGGGUCCCCCACAGCAUAAAGAACCUCACCAAAUUGGCCUUUAGGUCUCUCAGCCUUUAGAACUGUGAGUUGAUUAAACCUUUAUUCUUUAUAAAUUUACUCAGCUCAUGGCAUUCAAUUAUAGCAACAGAAAAUGGACUAAGACAGUUGGGAACCAGUGAAUGUUAGUUAUAAAGUUUCUUGAUCAACAGAAUGGAAAUAAUCUUUUCAUCUGCUAAGGCAGAUUAGCUACUGCUGUUAUUGUUUAAUAUUAAUAAUUGCUUUCAACUUAUUUCUUCUGUGUCCAUAAAUUUCUUGAGAGAAGAAAUGUUGCAUACAGAAGAUGUUAUAUAGUGAAUUUGAGCAGAAUUUUGUUUUUGAGGUUUUGGAGUCUUUUUGAGCUCAGUUCUCUUCACAACUUGGGGUUCACGCCUGCUGUUUCUCUUACAAAUCAGUGUGCUAGAGUGGCCUGUACUAGGGCAUGUUCUGGGGGAGGGUGAGUGGUCCUGCUAGGCCAGCUUUCCUAUCAGCUCCUGGGAAUCCCAAAUCUGGUGUUUGCAGUCUUUCCCCUCCACCCUUGUACAUUGGCUAGUCCUUAGAUUGAACUGCUGAGAGUGGAAAGGUCUGCUUCUAAUACAUCAUGGUGAAUCACUGGCCUCAAGACUUCCCUUGGAAGAGCCAUGACUGAACUUUCAUUCCUCUUCAUUUUAUUUUCCAACCUAAGCUGGGAGGAAAUCCAGUAGCAACAUUCACAGCUUCUGACAAUUAAACAAAAAGCAUAGAUUUCAGGUUCCCUUUGGACCUACAAAAAAUAUUUGGAAAUCAAAAAAUCAAUGAAAGAAAUUCCCAUGACUCUGUGGUGGGAUUGCGAAUAGGUUGGAGGAUAGUAGCAGAGAGGGUUGAUCUUGACUCUUCAGGAUUCCACAGUCUAGAGUUCGGGGAGGCAAGUGGCCUGAGGCUGCCUUGGAGACUCUCACUUACAGAUGCAGGAAUAAACCAAAGAACAGGAGGCUGGGACCCCAACAGAGAGUAUGAGCCCAGGCUGACAUUGCCCUUCAACACCACCAAGUCCAGUGCUACUAAGUCUUGACCCUUGAGUCCCUGGGGACUGCCCAGAAUAGGGCUUUGUCUCUUCUGCAUAAAGAAGGUCUUUGGACUGGGAUAAGGCCCUGAAGUCUCCAUCUUUAUAGGUGAAAUUGAGGUGGUUACAAAAGGUAAGGACUUCUGUGGAACUGGAGGUCUUUUUGUAAGAAAAGGGAUCAGAAGAUGUGGAGAAACACUGGCUGCACAUGAUGGUGAUAAAUGACGACAGGCCAGGCAUGGCUGGGAAGGAUGCUCCACAUGCUGCUGUCCUACUCCAACAUCUGGCUGGGCAGAUUUGCCUUCUGAGCCCAGGACAUGGCUUGGUGAACAUCUCCAGACAGCACAUCCUCAUCCUAAGGCGAGUAGAGGGGCUCUGGGGCUGAUCUCUACUGUGCUGUUUGUUAGCAGUGGGAAAUAGUCAAGUUUCCGAGCUUCAGUCCUCUCUCUGAUAUAUGAGGAUGAACAUUUUAACUUCUCUGAAUAGUUGGGACAAUUGAGCGAUAGACAUCGUUCAGUUUCCUGCUGUACACUGAAUGAAAAAUACUGGGUUCUCAAUUCAUGAAGGGAAACUAAUUCAUAAAUACAAAGACCAGGGAGGCAGAAUAACAGUAGUUGGGAGCACAAGUUUUGGAAUCAAACAACCUUAUAUAAAAAUUUUGGUUUUAUCUUCACGAACUAUGUAUCCUGAGCAAUUUACCUUAUGUUUUUUAUUCAUAAAGCAGGAAUUAAAUACUCUCUACUUUAUAGUUUUGGUAAGAGCAUUAAAUGAUACAUGUAUACAAAACCCAUAGGAUACUGCUUAAUACAUAGUAACAAUUGAAUAAAAGUCAGACAUUUUAAAUUUAAAAAAUAGCACUUCCACUUCUUGGUAUCUAUCCCAGAGAAGCAAUAGCUUCAAGUAUACAAGGAUGUGGACUGCAGAAUUGUUUUUAAUGUUGUGUGAAGACUUGGAAACAAAGAUGCAAAAACAACCAAAAAUAAAAGAGCCCUCACAUGCUCUUGAUGGGAAUGUAAACUAAUGCAGCCAUUAUGGCGAGUUGUAUGAAAGUUCCUCACAAAAAUUAAAGAUAAAACUUUCAUAUGACCUAGCAAUCCUACUACUGGGUAUAUACCCAAAGGAAAGGCAGCCAAAAUACAGAAUACAUAUCUAUAGUUUCAAGUUUAUUGUAGCAUUAUUCAUAAUUACCAAGAUAUGGAAUCAACCUGUGUGCUCAUCAACUGAUGAAUGGGUAAAGAAAAUGUAGUAUUCACAUGGAAUACUAUUAGCUAUAAAAGAAUGAAGUUCUGUCAUUUGGGGCAACAUGAAUGGACUUAGAGGAAAUUAUAUCAAGUAAAGUCAGCCAAGCACACAAAGACAAAUACUAUGUGUUCUUAUUUAUAUUAAGAAUCUGAAAAAGUCAAUUUCAUAGAUGUAGAGGAUAGAAGGGAUAGGAUGGUAGGGAUAUGUAACAAUUAAAUAAGCGGAAUAAGUUCUGGUGCUUUAUUGCAAAGUAGGUAUAUUAGUCAGUUUUUAAAUUUCUGACAUACACAACUUUAAGAAGAAAUGGUAUAUAUUUUUGCUCAAGUUUUAAGUCCAUGAUUGGCCAGUACCAAGGCAGGAAUAUUACAGAGAAAGGGCAAGACAAAGCAAAACCCCUUAGUUCAUGGUGUCCAGAAAGUAGAACGGGAACAACGCCGGAGAGGAAGAGACCCGGCACUAGAUAUGGCAGCCACCUCCAUGGCACAGCCAGACACAUGCAGAAGCAUGCUUUACCAAUCACUGAGGUGGGUCUAAAGCCAAUAAACGUGACAAUCCAGCUUAACUGUCCUGGUAGGGUAUUAUAGUUAAUAAUAAUGUAGGUAAUAUUUUAGGAAAGCUAAAAGAGAGGAUUUUGAAUGUUCUCACCACAAAGAUAUAUCACCCUGCCCUGCAUAAAUAUGUAUCAUUAUUAUGUCUCAAUAAAAAAUAAAACUUAUGAAAAAAUAAACAAUAGUGCAUCCUCCUGUCAAGCACUAUGCAGUCACUUGAGAAGGUGAAGCAGUUCUGGGUGUAACCUGUAACUAACUUGGACAGAGCUUCAAGGUCUGUGUUGAGUGAUAGUAAGGUAGUGGAACAAAACAUUCAGUACAGUGCUCUCAUGUAUAAAACCUGCACAAACGAAUCUACAUGCAGGGUCUGCACCUUGUGAAUGCUGGGGAUGUGAAUAGUCUUGUUGAAGCAUUUUUAACCAUUUGGGAAUUUGUGGAAAUUCUUGAUAAAUUUAUCAUUGAACUUGUUUUUCAUAAGUGAAAUCAUAUGGGAUGAUUGAACAUGUGCAGGAUUAGAGGAGUCAUUCUGGGUAGCAGUGUAACCAGGAACCAGCCUCAAGAUUGUCAGUGUUAAUGGCACCGAGAGUAACAGAAACAGCAGUGUUGGUGGCAGCAGCCAUGGCCAUGGGAG